GAGGUUUGGCAAUGAUUACUCACAGGGGAGAUGAGAAAAAUGGCACUAAAGCCUUGCGGGGUUUCGGUUAGCACUCCGGGUAACGAAUGUCUACCGGGACCUCGCGACUGUUGUCACGGGCUCGAGGGGAGUACCAGGUCAUGACAAUUCGAGUGGUAUCAAAGCAUUUGGUUUUAAAGGUUGUGGUGCGCGGAUUGCACUUACUAUGCCUAGGAGAGACAGUGAUUUCGAUACCUCACAUUGUACUAGUGAGGGAUCAACAGAAAGCCGAUGCCGUUCUGAACUCAGUAAUCUAGAAAGAUAUCCGUUUAGAGUUCCUAUUAAUUGGACUCCAUCGGAUUUGGGAGCGAAGGUUCAGAUAUAACAGUAGUACUAGUGAGACUGAUGAAAGUGUUGAUAGUAACGACGUUAAUGAAGGCAUAAGAAAUUUCAUCUUGAAAGAAAUUGAGGAAUGUAGGAAAAUCCAACAGGCUCGGAUUGAAGAACAA